rnacentral:rRNA from 1 species
AUUGAACGCUGGCGGUAUGCUUAACACAUGCAAGUCGAACGGUAGCAGGCCUUCGGGCGCUGACGAGUGGCGGACGGGUGAGUAACGCGUAGGAAUCUGCCUGGUAGUGGGGGACAACUUAGGGAAACUUAAGCUAAUACCGCAUACGCCCUACGGGGGAAAGCUGGGGACCUUCGGGCCUGGCGCUAAUAGAUGAGCCUAUGUUGGAUUAGCUAGUUGGUAGGGUAAAGGCCUACCAAGGCGACGAUCCAUAGCUGGUCUGAGAGGAUGAUCAGCCACACUGGGACUGAGACACGGCCCAGACUCCUACGGGAGGCAG